GACGAACGCUGGCGGCGUGCCUAAUACAUGCAAGUAGAACGCUGAAGAGAGGAGCUUGCUCUUCUUGGAUGAGUUGCGAACGGGUGAGUAACGCGUAGGUAACCUGCCUGGUAGCGGGGGAUAACUAUUGGAAACGAUAGCUAAUACCGCAUAAAAUGGAUUAUCGCAUGAUAAUGCAUUGAAAGGUGCAAAUGCAUCACUACCAGAUGGACCUGCGUUGUAUUAGCUAGUUGGUGGGGUAACGGCUCACCAAGGCGACGAUACAUAGCCGACCUGAGAGAGUGAUCGGCCACACUGGGACUGAGACACGGCCCAGACUCCUACGGGAGGCAGCAGUAGGGAAUCUUCGGCAAUGGACGGAAGUCUGACCGAGCAACGCCGCGUGAGUGAAGAAGGUUUUCGGAUCGUAAAGCUCUGUUGUAAGAGAAGAACGAGUGUGAGAGUGGAAAGUUCACACUGAG
rnacentral:rRNA from 1 species